rnacentral:rRNA from 1 species
UACAGAGGGUGCAAGCGUUAUUCGGAAUUAUUGGGCGUAAAGAGCACGUAGGCGGUUAUGUAAGUCUAAUGUGAAAUCCCUGGACUCAAUCCAGGAAGUGCAUCGGAUACUACAUGACUGGAGGAUAGGAGAGGAGAGCGGAAUUCCUGGUGUAGAGGUGAAAUUCGUAGAUAUCAGGAGGAACAACAGAAGCGAAGGCGGCUCUCUGGACUAUAACUGACGCUGAGGUGCGAAAGCGUGGGGAGCAAACAGG